UACGUAGGUGGCAAGCGUUGUCCGGAUUUACUGGGCGUAAAGAGCGCGCAGGCGGUUGGGUAAGUCGAAUGUGAAAGCCCCCGGCUCAACUGGGGAGGGUCAUUCGAUACUGUCCGACUCGAAGGCAGGAGAGGGAAGCGGAAUUCCCGGUGUAGUGGUGAAAUGCGUAGAUAUCGGGAGGAACACCAGUGGCGAAGGCGGCUUUCUGGCCUGUUCUUGACGCUGAGGCGCGAAAGCCAGGGGAGCAAACGGG
rnacentral:rRNA from 1 species